rnacentral:rRNA from 1 species
GAUGAACGCUGGCGGCGUGCCUAAUACAUGCAAGUCGAGCGAACAGAUGAGAAGCUUGCUUCUCUGAUGUUAGCGGCGGACGGGUGAGUAACACGUGGGUAACCUACCUAUAAGACUGGGAUAACUCCGGGAAACCGGGGCUAAUACCGGAUAAUAUUUUGAACCGCAUGGUUCAAUAGUGAAAGACGGUUUCGGCUGUCACCUAUAGAUGGACCCGCGCCGUAUUAGCUAGUUGGUAAGGUAACGGCUUACCAAGGCGACGAUACGUAGCCGACCUGAGAGGGUGAUCGGCCACACUGGAACUGAGCCACGGUCCAGACUCCGACGGGAGGCAGCAGUAGGGAAUCUUCCGCAAUGGGCGAAAGCCUGACGGAGCAACGCCGCGUGAGUGAUGAAGGUCUUCGGAUCGUAAAACUCUGUUGUUAGGGAAGAACAAAUUUGUUAGUAACUGAACAAGUCUUGACGGUACCUAACCAGAAAGCCACGGCUAACUACGUGCCAGCAGCCGCGGUAA